rnacentral:lncRNA from 1 species
UUACAUUUUUCUACAUUUUAGUCAUUUAGCAGACGCUCUUAUCCAGAGCGACUUACAGUAGUGAAUGCAUACAUUUUCUUCCGUACUGGUCCCCCGUGGGAAUCGAACCCACAACCCUGGCGCUGCAAACACCAUGCUCUACCAACUGAGCCACACGGGACCAGUGUAGAGGAUCAGUGCAGAGGAUCAGUGUAGAGGAUCAGUGUGUAGAGGAUCAGUGUGUAAAAUAUCAGUGUAAAGGAUCACUGUGUAGAGGAUCAAUGUAGAGGAUCAGUGUGUAGAGGGUCACUGUAGAGGAUCAGUGAGCAGAUGAUUCAUGUGUAAAGGAUCACUGUGUAGAUGACCAAUGUAGAGGAUCAGUGUGUAGAGGAUCAGUGUGCAGAGGAUCAGUGUGCAGAGGAUCAAUGUAGAGGAUCAGUGUAGAGGAUCAGUGUGUAAAAGAUCAGUGUAGAGGAUCAGUGUGCAGAGCAUCAGUGUGCAGAGGAUGAAUGUGUAAAGGAUCAGUGUAGAGGGUUAGUGUGUAAAGGAUCAGUGUGUAAAGGAUCAGUGUGUAGAGGAUCAGUGUGUAAAGGAUCAGUGUGUAGAGGAUCAGUGUGUAGAGGAUCAGUGUGUAAAGGAUCAGUGUGUAGAGGAUCAGUGUGUAGAGGAUCAGUGUAGAGGAUCAGUGUAGAGGCUCAGUGUAGAGGCUCAGUGUAGAGGAUCAGUGUAGAGGAUCAGUGUAGAGGAUCAGUGUAGAGGAUCAGUGUAGAGGGUCAGUGUAGAGGAUCAGUGUAGAGGAUCAGUGUAGAGGAUCAGUGUGUAGAGGAUCAGUGUGUAGAGGAUCAGUGUGUAGAGGAUCAGUGUGUAGAGGUUCAGUGUAGAGGAUCAGUGUAGAGGAUCAGUGUAGAGGGUCCGUGUAGAGGAUCAGUGCAGGCACACACUUUUGCAGUUAGGCAAAUAGUCGAAGUUCCAGCCACCCUAGUCAUAGACUGUUCUCUCUGCUACUGCACGGCAAGCGAUACCAGCGCACCAAUACUGAAACCAACAGGACCCUGAACAGUUUCCACCCCAAAGCCAUAAGACUGCUAAAUAGUUAGUUAAUUAAAUAGUUAACCAAAUAGCUACCCGGACUAUCUGCAUAAACCCCCUUUUGCACUAACUCUUUUGAGUCAUCACAUGUGCUGCUACUGUUUAUUACAUAUCCUGUUGCCUAGUCACUUUACCCCUACCUAUACCUACAUAUCAAAUCAAAUCAAAUCAAAUCUUAUUAGUCACAUGCACCGAAUACAACAGGUGUAGACCUUACAGUGAAAUGCUUACUUACGAGCCCCUAACCAACAGUGCAGUUUAAAAAAAAUACGGAUAAGAACGAGAUAAAAGUAACAAGUGAUUAAAGAGCAGCAGUAAAAAAUAACAAUAUAUACAGGGGGGUGCCGGUACAGAGUAAAUUUGCGGGGGCACCGGUUAGUUGAGGUAGUAUAUACAUGUAGGUUGAGUUAUUAAAGUGACUAUGCAUAGAUGACAACAGAGAGUGGCAGUGGUGUGGAGAGGGGAGGGGGCAAUGCAAAUAGUUGGGUAGCCAUUUAACUAGAUGUUCA